rnacentral:rRNA from 1 species
GGGCAAUGAUGCAUAGCCGAGUUGAGAGACUGAUCGGCCACAUUGGGACUGAGGCACGGCCAAAACUCUACGGGGAGGCAGCAGUAGGAAUCUUCCACAAUGGACGCAAGUCUGAUGGAGCAACGCCGCGUGAGUGAAGAAGGGUUUCGGCUCGUAAAAGCUCUGUUGUUGGUGAAGAAGGAUAGAGGUAGUAACUGGCCUUUAUUUGACGGUAAUCAACCAGAAAGUCACGACUAACUACGUGCCAGCAGCCGCGGUAAU